CAGUCGCCGCGGUAGUACGAGGGGGGCAAGCGUUGUUCGGAAUUGUUGGGCGUGAAGGGUGCGUAGGCGGUUUGAUAAGUUCUAUGUGAAAUCUAUGGGCUCAACCCAUAGUCUGCAUGGAAAACUGUCAGGCUUGAGAAUGGGAGAGGUGGGUGGAAUCUCCGGUGUAGCGGUGAAAUGCGUAGAUAUCGGAAGGAACACCUGUGGCGAAAGCGGCUCACUGGACCAUUUCUGACGCUGAUGCACGAAAGCUAGGGGAGCAAACAGGAUUAGAUACCCCGGUAGUCCCUGUCUCUUAUAC
rnacentral:rRNA from 1 species